rnacentral:rRNA from 1 species
GACGAACCAAGCGAACGUUAUUCGGAAUCACUGGGCUUAAAGGGCGCGUAGGCGGGCCAUCAAGUCAGGGGUGAAAGCCUCCAGCUCAACUGGAGAAGUGCCUCUGAUACUGGUGGCCUCGAGGGAGGUAGGGGCGUGCGGAACUUCCGGUGGAGCGGUGAAAUGCGUAGAUAUCGGAAGGAACACCGGUGGCGAAAGCGGCGCGCUGGACCUCUUCUGACGCUGAGGCGCGAAAGCCAGGGGAGCGAACGGG